ACUGAUCACUAAGGCUGGCCCAGAUUCAAAGAGUGGAGGCGUAGACUUGUCCUUUCAAUGAGAGGAGUGUGAGAAAAUAUGCAGACAAAUUUUUAAAACACCAUCAGAUUAGCAGAGCCCGGGACCACGCAGCAUAGGCGUCUGUUACUUGUUCUUCCUUCUCCACAAAACAGCAACAAUCUCCUCCAUUGUGUACUCCAGUUGUGCAUAAACAGCACCUGUAUAUUUGUACCAACAGAUACACCUUGCAGAAAGCUACACUUGACCUCUUGGCUUCCACAGGCAAGGACUGCAGUGAAGGCCACGUAUCGGGAAAACUCACCUACCUGCUGGUGCCUGGAUCUUUGGAUUUCAUGGGCAGUGAGAUUUGAAAGAGAAAGAAAAAGACCAUCAUAUGGAAGCCAAAUCUGAUGCCAUUACUUUACAAAAUAAAAACAUCUACUAUCCACAACCACUACCGCUUUACAAAAGGGUAUUUUAACACUAACAGAUGGGAAGAACAUUGUCUCAAAAUAAAGAACAAUCGCUUAAAUUGCUUACAUUUAGUUUUCAAGACAUGCUUACUGCCUUGCCCUUUACCUUUUUUAAUAAUCAAGAAUCAGCGAAACUUCAUCCUGGACCAGAAUGGUCCUUGGACCUGCAUUUGGGAAGU